UAUAAAAAUAUAUAUUUUAUAACAAUAUAUAAAAUAUAUAUUAUUAAAAUAUGUAUAUUAUAUAUAAAAUAUAUAUUUUACUGUGCUAUCACUGAUCUCAGCCCUUCCUUUAACUGACCCCUUCCCUAGCCUCGUAGAUGAGAGUCCAGCCUGCCUUAUGGAUCCCUGAAUUUGCUCACUGUCACUGCUGGGAACAUCCAGGCAGGAUCCAGUCCCACUCAUAGGAGAGGAAGGCAAAGGGCACUGUCCCUCUAGCCCCUCCCCUCCCCUCCCGCAGGACAGAUCCUCCUGCCUUACUCCAUCUGCAGAUGCUGGCAAAGCCGGUUCCAGACCUCUGAGGCAGGGAAACAGAAUCCAUUUAAGGGACUUGUGGGAAAGUGGCCUCAUUUUACAAGCAAUUGGGUUGUGAAUCGAAGCGGGCAUUAAAGUUUACAAGCUACACUGGCGAAGGAGCCAGCAGACCUUGCAGCUACUGCCUGUUAGGAGGCAUCUUCCCCAGUUACUCAACAGUUGUGUGGAGUGUGUGAGAAGCCAGCACAGAUCCUGCCCUCCACACCUGCUGGUGGAAGAAAUGCCCAUUGUCUUCUUAAAACCGAGGAGGGGCUGUGGGAGGGCACAGGAUCACCUGUCUCCUGACAGGCUUUCCCCUUCUCUAGCGUUAUGCAAGAAUCUGGGAGGUUUUAGGUGAUGCCGAGAAAAUGGGGAAAGAAAUACAUUCAGAGACCUCUGCUCACAGCUGGGAUCCCCACGCAGCUGAGACAUCUCCAGGAAAUCACUUGGGUUCAAUGGCGGAACUUACCACUUCAAGCUGUCACCUGGUGGGAGAGGGUGGUGGCCGGAAGUAACAAGUUCUCCCGAAUGGAUCCAAGCAAAGAGGAGGCCUCCUCAUUUCCUUCUCAGCCAAGCCCACUAGGGCCCUGGAAGACAGAGAUUGCUAGGACACCCAGGGUCUACUUGGGCUGAGCUCCCCAGACCUGGUGCAAGGAAGCCAGGCAUUCCUACCAAGGCUCUGUCACUUACCCAGCAGGACUCAUGAGCUCAGCACCUUUCUGGACUUGAGGAGAUGGCUCUGUUUUUGCCCUUUUCCCUCCAUGCUUCCUCCUGUCUCUGCCUCCCCACUGACAGCUGCCUCUGCCAUCCCCCAGGACAUCCCACUCUCUUCUCAAAGGCUCAGGCCUGAGAGGUUGCUGGUGGGCAGAUUCCAUCUCAUGGUUGAGCUGUUUGGUCUCAAUGGCAUUCUCUCUCUCUCUCUCUCUCUUCCCCUUUUUUUUUCCCCAAAUUGAGCCAUCUUCUUUCCAUUGAGGUUUUCAUAUAAAAAAGCAAGUUGCUGGGUUCUCUUUAAAAGUAGGGCAAUCUGGCAAUUCUGGGCUUGUGUAGAAACAAUUAGAUAGAGCUAAAAACAGAGGCUUUUGACAAAGCCUGAGCUCCCAAUAGCCAAAGGACUUUUCACCCCUUUAAAAAAGAACCCUUCCUGUGCUCAUUUAUAUCAACUCCUGCCCUUGCAGACAUGUAUUGUAGGUUUUAACUAGAAACAAGAGGAUUAGCUUUAUUUAAACAGCAAAACUGCUUAAAUGAGAUAAUAUGUGUAUUUGGAAUGGUGCCUGGCACCUAACCUAAUCCUUAGUUAAUAUUUAUUGUGCAAAUUAUCUCGAUUAUUAAAAAGACAGGCCAACUGACAUAACAAGAAUACUAACUCAGAGCUGGCACUUGAGGGCUCAGUAGAAUAUUCCUGGCUUGGAGGGGGGGCUAUGAUAUGAGCCCAUAUAAUCAGAGAAGUUCAAAUGGGACAUGAGAACCACCUGGUAGCCUAAAUCCAGAGAAACAAAAAUCAGACUCAGGCUCUAAAGCUGGCAAAUGUUCAUUUUUGGAAAUUAGAAAGUGAUGGUGUGUUAUCCCAAGAAACCCCUGGGACAACAUGCAGUGAGCAUCCAUUCACAGAGACCACCUUGAACCAGGCUCUUUCCCUACGUUUUGUUAUUAUAGCCUCACUACAACCUUGUGAGGUGGAAAUUAAUAUCCCCAUUUUACAGAUGGAUAAACUAUCUAGUGAGGGUGACAUAUUAUUGCAAUAACCACAAGAAUAAAUAUAAAUGAGAUAAAUUCUCUCUGAAGGAAAGGAACGGGGAUUUACAAUGGUAUAAAACAAAGAAAAUGGGCCUGGUCUAAGUGAUGAGGGAGUGUUUCUUUAAAGAACUGAUAUUUGAGCUGAGAUCUGAAGGAUUAAAAGAGUGUUACAUUGGAGAAGAUUGGGCAGGAGGGAAAUACUCUCCAUGGCCCUCAAUCCCAGAUGCACAACUUGAACCACUUGAGGUUCACACACACAAGGAGAGUAUCAUGACCUGGUACAGUCUCAGUCUAAUUAAUCAGUAGAACCCAGGUACCAGUGUUUUUAUUUUUAUUUAUUUAUUUAUUUAUUUUGAGACAGACUAUUGCUCUGUGGCCCAGGUUGGAGUGCAGUGGUGUGAUCUCAGCUCACUGCAACCUCCUCCUCCUGGGUUCAAGUGAUUCUUCUGCCCUGGCCUCCUGAGUAGCUGGGAUUACAGCCACCACCAUCACAUCUGGCUAAUUUUCAUAUUUUCAGUAGAGGCGGGUUUCGUGUUGUUGGCCAGGCUGGUCUCAAACCCCUGAUCUCAGAUGAUCCACCCACCUUGGCCCCAUAAAGUGCUGGGAUUACAAACGUGAGCCACCACGGCCUGCUGGUACCAAUGGUUUUAAUAGCUUCAUGGUUGAACCACUGAAAUGAAACAAAAAGUAAAUCCAGAGCUCACACACUCUAGCAAAACAAUAGCCAUUAAUAGCUAUUGAGUAAAUAAAGUAGAUGCUCAGUAAUCAUGAGCACGUAGCUCAUCAGCAUCCUUGUCAUCACCACUGCCUCUGCCUCCUCAAGAUCAUUUGGUAGCCUAAGUCCAAUGUCAAAGGAAUAAAGAAAACCUGCCUCUGCUGAGGGCUUGCACUAUGCUAAAGUCUUCACUUUGUUUCAUUUAACCUUUACCAAAACCCUUAUUAUUUUACAGAUAAGGACACUAGGCUUAGAACAAGGCACCAAUUUGCCCAGGAUUUCACAGCUCAUCUGGGCAGCAGGGGACCGUCUUUCAGGCCCACCUGGCUAUAGAGACCAUACCCUUUCCCGGUCUCCAUGCACAGCAGCUUCCUGCUCACUUUAGCUCCGAUUUCCCAGCCUGAAUGCCUUGAUUGGGCUGCAUUGCUUUGGCCUGGCCACAAAAAGAGUUUUGAAGAUUUGUGCCCACUUUUCUUACUACGGUUAAGAAAAAGGACCAAAGUUGAACCAAGCUCUCUAGGUUCAAAUCCUACUUACUGGCUGUGGGACCCUAAACUAUUUGUGGAACUUCUUUGAGCCUCAAUUUUUUGUUUUCUGUAACAUGAGAAUACUAUCCAUACCUCUCUCGUAAGUUUCUUAUGAAGAUUAAGUAUAUAUGUGUUAAGAUUCGUAUUGACAACUAUGCAUGUAUGCAUAUACAUACAAGGUUGAGUAUGUAUAUAACACACAUUUAGAAUAGCGCAUGAAAUAUAGUCAGUGUUCAGUUAAUGACAAGUACUGUUAAUAUUAUCCCAUGGGCUGGAGUGAGAGGGCCACUGGGGUUUUGCUUUCCAGUCCCUAAUCCGGUGGCAUCCUGGAUAGGGUAUCAUCAUACCCCUCCUAGGAGAACAGGAUAGGGAACUGUAAGAGUACUCAGGUAGAAGGUGGGAUGUGCACCAGGGAAGCUCAGGAGGAAGCUGCUGCCUUUCCUGGUCCCUGAAGACCAGGAGCAGCAGCCAGGGACUUGGGUUGACAGGGAAGUGCAGGGAGUGGUUGAGGGGUGAGAUGAUUAUCAAACCUCCUCUAAAAACAAGCUGGGGCUUGGCGCGGUGGUGGCUCAUGCCUGUAAUCCCAGCACUUUGGGAGCCUGAAGCACGUGAAUCAGCUGAGGUUAGGAGUUCCAGACCAGCCUGGCUAAUAUGGUCUCUACCAAAAAUACAAAAAUUAGACAGGCCGGUGGCUCACGCCUGUAAUCCCAGCACUUUGGGAGGCCGAAGCGGGUGGAUCAUGAGGUCAAGAGAUCGAGACCAUCUUGGUCAACAUGGUGCGACCCCGUCUCUACUAAAGAUACAAAAAAUUAGCUGGGCACGGUGGCGCGUGCGUGUAAUCUCAGCUACUCGGGAGGCUGAGGCAGGAGAAUUGCCUGAACCCAGGAGGCGGAGGUUGCGGUGAGCCGAGAUUGCGCCAUUGCACUCCAGCCUGGGUCACAAGAGCGAAACUCUGUCUCAAAAAAAAAAAAAUUAGACAGGCAUGGUGGAGCAAGUCUGUAAUCCCAGCUACUCAGGAGGCUGAGGCAGGAGAAUCACUUGAAACCUGGAGAAGGUUGCAGUGAGCCAAGAUGGCACCACGGCACUCCAGCCUGGGGGACAGAGACUCCAUCUCAAUAAAUAAAAUACAGGAUGGAAGGGAGUGCCCAGCUCUCAGUCAGCUGCCGGUCCACGGCCUUGGACACCACUGAUAUGGACCUGUCUGGGCUGGAGCAGAAGGGGGCCAGCGUAAUGUCUUCAGAAAAUUCCCUGCAACCCCCACCCGCCUGGUGGCCUGUCCUGAGGCCGGCCCAGCCCAUGGAGCCAGCCCCGGCCAGCUGCAGCCAGUACCAUUGAUGACCAGCAGAGGGCAGCACAGGCCACAGGCUGGCUUUUUGUUGGUGAAAUUUUGCUACGAUGUGUGUAGCCUCUUGGGUUUGGUGUCUCCCUGUUCUUCCUCUGCAGGCAGAGGGAAGUCCUGGAUAUGAUCACAGGCACUCUGCCUCAUCCUCAUCCCCAAAUUCUGAGGUCUUUCUGAACUGUGUUAGCAUAUUUCAGAGCUUCACUGCAAACCAGAAACGGGACUUUGAACUCACAUUCCAGAGCAGAGAGCCCCAGGGCAUGUAGGUGCAGACAGCACACUUCCAAACCUCCGCAUCUGGAGAGCAGGACUGGAAGGGACGGUUUUGGGGCUUGUUUGCAAGUUCACCGGGGGCCAGGUGAGCUAUCUGUCCUUGCCAUUCUCUCCCAGGAGGAGGAAGUGUGAGACGAUGCUGAAGGUGCGGGCUCUGGAAGGGGACGGGGCUGUGCUUAAGCCUGCCUCGUUACAGGAUUAUGGACAAGCCUUCGCUAACUUCUGUGGAGUAGUGGAUAAAAUCCGUACCCCACGUGGUCAUAAGAGAACUAAGUGAAGGACCGCAUGCACAGAGCCCAGCAAGGUGCCCAGGAAACAAAGCAAUCGUUUUUCAGGUUACAUCUUGGGGAGACCACCCAGAGGACCUUUUUUCAAGGACCAGUACCGAGAAUUUCUCUCCCUUUCCUACAUCACUUGCUUUCACGCACAGGGAGGCCAGCACUGCCUGAGCCAGGCCACCCCUUUCUUAAGCCAGGGCCUGGAAACUGCUGUAGGGGUGCUCCCUUGAUCUCCAUCGGACACUCCCAUGCCUGCCCACUGACCUCAUAGCCAUUCAUUGGCCAAGACCCUGCCCUCAUCCCAAUCUUUUGUAAAGUACGCAUGCAUCUUCAUGCCACCCUACAGGACUGUGGAGCAGGUGCAGGGAUGAGUGUCUACCUUUUCACAAGCUCUCCAGGGGGUUCUGAAGUCCAUGGAAUCAAACAGCCACCACUCUAGGCAAUGAGAUGGGGAAAUAGUAUUCUAAAACAAUUAAUGCGGGCCCAUGAAGGGGACAGGAGAGCUAUUAUGCAAAUUCUGGCUAUUCGAGGUUAUUCAUAUGCAGGAGAGAACGUAGAUGCUGGAUAAAGGAUGCCCACAAUAUUAGGCAGUCAGGAGGCUGCCUGGCAGGGCCUGUUUCUGCUCAGCCUGGUGAACAGAAAGGUCUCAGGGAUAACUUUAGAGAAUGACAGAACUCUUGCUGGGUCAAAGGGCACAGUUGCCAAGGCUGAGGCCAGAACUAGGAAGAUCCACCCAUCUGGCUCAGUGGUUCUCAAUCUUGGGUCAGCACUGGAAUCCAGGAGAGCUCACGGAAACCUCGAGAGCUGCUGGCUCCACCCCCAGAGCUGACCUUAGUAAAUCUGAGAUGAGGCCAGAGAAACUGCAUUUCAACAAGUUGCCAGGUGUUGCAGUGUGUGUGCGUGCAUGCAUGCAUGCGUGCCUCUGUGUGUUCCCGUUUUCUGCUUUCUGCAGUGUUUCAGCUCAGACUUCCUGACGGGGGGCCCAUUCUUGGUCAGAGGCCCAGUCUAAACCUAGAAUAGCAAUAUAUGCUCAGGUCUUUGGAGCACGCAGCCUUCUCAAAGCCAUUGUUUCCAGGUUCCAUAAAAGCCACAUAAGCUGGUUUUAAAAGUGCAGCUAGGAGAAAAUAUUUCCUUCCUCAUCCAUUGCUAGGUUCAUGGCUGAGGCACCUGCAAUAAAAGACAGAUUCACAAGAGAAAAGCAUACCAAGUAAUUUAAGUUGUGUAUGAUGUGGCAGCCUUUAGAAAUGAAGACCCAAAGAAACAGGGAAAUCUGUGUGAUUUUUUUUGCUAAGUCUGGUGAAGAAGCAGGUAACUGUGGAGAAUUAUAACUGGACAAGGGGGUUUGAUUUGAUGUGAUAAUCUAGGUGUCAUUUAGAAGGGCUGUUUGUUCAGAUUCUUCUCUGCCUCCCUGAAUCUUCAUAGAGAAGGAUUUUCCUGUCCUGUGGGUCUAGGUAAGUCACCUCUUAAAUGAGGGUCUCAUGCCCCACUUGAGAAGAAGGACAGGAAAUUCUUUUAUGGCCUGCUUCAGGGGAGAAGGGCAGGAGAAGGUUGGAGAGUGACCUUCCCGCUUUUGCGAUUUUCUCAAAUGCCAAGAUGGCAGAUCUGGGAUUGUGUGUCCAGAACUCCAUCACAUCCAUGGCUGUCCGCGUGCCUGUCACUCACGGCCACAAAUGUGUAUUGACUUGUGAGAUCCUCAAAAUGAACCUUCAAAUCUGUGCUCGUCCCCACUUGAGAGAUCCAGAGAUGAGCGUAGAGAUAGGACACAACCUUCCCAAGGGAGCAGAGCCAAGAUUUGAACCAGGGCUGCUGGGUCCAUGAGCAAGGGCUUGAAAUCCAGUGCAGCACAGGCAUCUCCCUCAGCAGGCUCAGUGACAGGAGUUCCACUGGCUGGAGCAGAAAGGACCCUCCCCUUCAAAGCAGGACUCUGCCCUCGAGCCCUGAGCAGCCACUCUGGACAGGGUCCACGGAGGAAGGCAAUCCUCCAGUCCGCCAUGCUUCCUCUGACCUCUUCGCUGUCUCAGAUGGAACUGCAAGAAGAACCCAAACCAUCCAGGUCUCCCCUACUGCUGGGCCUUUGCAAAGCCUUCAGAGCAGCACAGCGGUGAUCUCCUGGGUCCCUCAGCUCCACGCCAUCAGCACAUGACCCAACAAACCUUGGGCCGCCAAGGAAAGUUCCUUCCCCAGAGUUAGCUCUGAGGCCAAUCACCCAAUUUCACACCUGAUUUCAUACCUUUUGUCCCUCCGCAGAGCCCCCUGCCUGCUCCCCAUUGUCCUUCCUGACACCAGCCUUGGUAUUUCCAGAAAUGUAUGCGGAGGCUCAAGGCUUGGAGGACUGGCUUCAUCAACGGGCUCUGGAAGGCUCUCUGACCCCAGUGGAACUUGGCUAUCUCUGUCUGUCCAGAUGUUACUCAAGCCCGGAACCUCCCCCCCAUUGUUAGCGGCUUCUCCUUCCCGCACAGGCUGUGGCCCCUCCUUCUCCCUCAACCUUGACCUCAGGCCAGCGCUGAGCUUUUCCCGACAGCCCUUGGGUUACUGUAGACAAGGCUCUAGUGCUCAAACUCUGGCUUGAGCUCAGAGGAGGGCCCAUUCUGGGCUUGAAAGUACCUGAUGUGGGGACCGCAGGCCACACUGGAGUGGUGAGGAGGGUCUCCUGUCACAGGCUGAGGAGCUGGCCCAGAGGCAGCCCUGGCCUCCUUGCCACUCCCCUGAAAUCAAUUCCUCAUCGGAGGGAACUUUCUAAAAUAAAAUGUUUAAAAUUGCCACAGACCUGCCCAGCUUAAAGCCUUUACAAGGCUGCUGUUGGCCCCAGCAUGAAACCCAAGGUCCUUUCCCUCCUGGCUGCCAAGGCCUCUGGCCACUUGCCCACCCCACCAGCCUCACCACACUCCCUUAGCCUUCCCUACUCUUGGGGAAGGGCAGGGCGGGGCGGGGGGGGCUACACUAAGUUCCAAAGUCAACCUGCACUUUUUCUUACCUCCAAGCCAUUGUUCAGCCUCCUACCUUGGUCUAGAACACUCCCUGCAUCUGACUUCUAUAUGUUUCUUCCUUCAGGAAGCCCUCCCUGAUGCCCCAUGCCCCCUCCAAGGAGUGCCCAGCAUCCAGAGCAACCUGCACCACAUCGUGUGCUGGAAACAUCCCUACCAUACUUCUCUGUCCUUGGACACUGCAUGUGGGCCUGUCAAUACACCACCUAGACCCCUCGGGUACCUUUCACCAUUUCUCAGCACUCUUCACCUGGCCUCUGUGAGUUUUUGCUUCUAAGAGUCUAUUGGGAAGAAAAUAUUCCCACUUUAUCAAACUAGAUCCUAGUUGUGGGGUAGAGGGCUGCAAAUUAACUGGCAAUGGACAGAUUCAAAGGAGAAAAAAUCAGUUGUACUCACUUGCCUGGGAAGACUGAAGAGCUAGGAAUCAGGGCUGCUAUAUCCACUUAAUAAACCGGGAGAACCUGGUGGGGCUAGGGCUGCUGCGGAGGCUCAGGAACCAGUCAGAAGCUUCCAACUUUCACCCACCAUGCCCGGCUCCCGGACCCCAUGCGGCUAGAUGUAAGCAAGAAGGAAACUAAUUUCACAAAUUUCGGCAUUUAUGAAGCUCGGCAGGCAACCCAGCAGGCAGCCACAAGUGAGGAACAAGGGCCCCUAGGCUGGGCUGCCUUCCAGGCAGGUCUCCUCGACACGGGCCACUGCAGUUCGCUCCUGAAGUGUAUCAGGGGAGCCCGGCUGUAUGUGGGGGACGGGGAGGGUGGGGUGCAGAGCUCAGCAUCCACCCACCUGGUGCUGCGGCUGCCACUCCACAAGUAGAAGGCUGGAUGCCUGCUGGGGCAGAAGGUGGAGUCCAGCCUGACCACUUUGUGGGGCUCAUCCUCGCCAGCCUUGGGGGCAGUGACAGGCUGCUAUGAGGCGCACCCCAGCCUGAGGAUCCCUCAGCCUCACUACUCCCAGGUCAAACCUAAAGGAGCAGGCCUGGCAAGUCCCUAAGCCUUCCAGCGACGUUCCCCUUCCCCAGGCUUGGCAGUGCCAGCCCACAAUUCAGUCAUAGGACACCAGGUGGGCUCCUUUCUUGCGGGCCUGGCACAGGCUGCUGAGAAGAAAUGGGCUCGCAGCCCGGAGGGGGGCUUAGAGCCUGGAGGAGUGGCCCAUCCCUUCCUUCAUACAACCAGGCUGUGGCUGGCUGUCCACAGAUGGCCAUCCUCAUGCUAUGAACUGAGUUCUGUAUUCCCCAAACUCAACAUGCUGAAGGCUUAACCCGAGGGACCUUGCAAUGGGACUGUACUUGGAGAUGAAGCCUUUAAAGGGGUAAUUACAUUAAAGAGAUGUUGUUAGGGUAAGCCCUCAUCCAAUAUGACUGGUAUCUUUGUGAGAAUAGAAUAAGACAUAGACACACACAGAGGUAAGACCACGUGAAGACUCAGAAGGAAGGCUGCCGUCUGCAAGCCAAGAAGAGAGGCCUCAGGGGAACCCAGCCUGCUGCACCUGCAUCUCAGACUUCCAGGCUCCUGAACUGGGAGGAUAUGAAUUUUUGUUUAAGCUGCCCAGUCUGCUGCCCCUUGUGAUAUCAGCCUGAGCAAACCAAUACACAUUGGCCCUGAUAGCUAAACUGAAAAGUGCAAUAAGGCCAUUUAAACCACAAAUACACGGUGGGGGUGCCCAGAUCCCAGAGCUGAGUCUCAGUUAUUUCACACAUCACAAAACUGAGGGUGCUGAGGGAGGGGGCCUCCCGAGGCCACACAACAACUUAGAGGGAACAUGAAACUGAAAGAAAUGGAUUCCCAGGGGAGGGCUCUUGCCUGACUCCCUCCCAGGAGAUCAUCAGAGGGUUUCCGGGAGCAUGAGGUUGCUGAGACCACAGACAGAGGUUGUUUCAUGGCUGAGUAAUGGAGUAGAAGCCAGGCGAGUAUGACACAUCAUCCCUCUUGACGGAAUUAGAACACAGAGCCCUGGAGUUCACGUCAUGCCCCGAUCCCAGAUUCAUGAUGGAAACUUGAACCUCACCCGCUUAUCUCUGAAGUGCAGAAACUUACAGUCCCUCCUCCAGGGAGAGUUGGGGGUUAAAUGAUAUAGUGAUGUACAAGUCUGUAAGCUGUAAGGCAAUGGAAAAAUGGAGGGUUUGUCCUUGGAUGAAGCUCCCACCCUGGACAGCAUGGAGAACCCAGGAGUCAGGCUGGGCUGCUGGCUCACAGCCAGGGACUCAGGUGGGAGAUUGAAAAAUCCAAGAGGCAAGAGGCAUCUGCAGCCCUGGAGCCAGUUCCAGAUUUGCCCUCAGGGCCGUAUCCCCGUAACCAUCACAGGGCUUGGCUCCUGAGAGAAAAUGCAGUCUUAAAGAAUGAACAAUUGUUGACUACUGCUUACUACAAUAAGCAUAGCUGCUACUCUAUCCAGCAAGAGGAAGCCACUACUCAGUGCUCCAGCCAAGGUUGUUCUCAAGCUUCUGUUCAUCUCAAACCUUUAUGAAGCACCCUCACCCACUGGCCUGUGCAGUGCCUAAGAGUGCACCCUGCAGUCAAAUCCCAGCUUGGCCUCGGAUGAGCUGUGAGGCUCUUGGUCAAUCCCAUUCCCUUUCUGGCAGUGCCUUGCAAAGGAGACAGCAUUGCAAAGACCCCAGGGGCUGAGUAAGCAGAGUCCUUUUGGAAAUCAGAGAAAAGGCCACAUAGCUGGGAGCCUUUGUGAAACUGGAGAGAUCACCAGGGCCAGACCCUCAGGGGCCUGGGGGCCCUUGAAAGGAAUCUGGUCUUGUUCCUAGAACAGAUGGCACUAAUUAUUUGACUUUGUUCAAGUCCCUGUCCUAUUCUGAGCUUCAGUUUUCUUAUCUGCAAAGGGCUCUGGACAGAACCAUCCAGGAUCCACCCUGACCCUGGGCCUUCAUGCCAGGUUAAGGAGAGAUAGGCCUCAUUCUGCAGGCAGAAUGAGUGUCUCCGGGAAAGGCCUUCUAGCUCCACCCUGCCCUGUCUGGCUCUGCAGACCACACAGAACUCUCAAGACAAUUGGUCACUACACUCAGGAGUUUCCCAUUUCUGCCAAGAAAAUCUGGAGAAGACAACGUCCCAUUUGAAUCAUGAGAUGUCCUCAACAGCACCUUCUAGAGUGGAGACCUUUGUGCUGCUGUGAGAGAGGGGCUUGCAGAAUGAUAUUGUCAGUCUAGGCAUGUUUCACACAGAGGAGAACUCAGGACAGGGGACAGGAAUGGAGGCAGGAAUUCAAUCUGUUAGAACAAGUUUUCAGAUGUGGUUAUGUUUCAGGGAUGUAGAAUCCUGUGCCUUCAGGAUUUCUGAGAUUGAAGAUAAUCCCGGAAAACAGAGCUGGCAGGCCCUGGAAUCAGCCCCAGGCCUAUUUGGAUAGGGGAUUCUGGGGUCCUGGUACCCAGAGCCUGGUCUAGACAGAAGGAGGUAGUGGGCUCUGGGUGGGCAAACCCACCUUGGCCCUUUCCCUUCCCUCAUCCUGUGGGGAGGGGCUCAGCUAGUGCAGGGUCAGAGGGCAUCUAAAGCAGGGGUUGCAUGGUAGGCAUCCCUCUUGCCCAGACCCAAGGGUGGCCCGGAUCACCACCUAGGCACAGCUGGGUGAUGAGUAUGGGCAGCUGGGUUUUGUUGCCACAUAAAAAUGCCUCAUUCCUCCUGGCCCUGAAGUGACUGUUCACUGAAAGAGGCAACCCUACUGAAUCACAGCCUGCUAUUUAUUACACAGUCAGUGAACAGCCUACAGUUCCAAUGCAUGAGAGGGCUUGGAAACCAAAUCAACCUUGGGAAAAGGAAAUGCAGAGGCCAAGGUCAAAACCCAUCCAUGGAAGUGGGAAGAAAGCAGGGCUGGCCUCAACCUUUUCACCAGUAGAGAGAUGGCCAUGUAAAGUAGUAAGUCUCCUGUGGAUGGAGUAUUCAAGAACAGGUAGAAUGUCUAUUUCUUAGGGGUUUGUAGAAAGAAUUCCUUGCACACAAAAGUACGUGAUUCUACAUCCCUGGAGCAUAACUAGGUCAGAAAACUUGUUGUAAUAGAUUGCGGUCCUGCCACCUCUCCUGUCCUCAUCCAGAGUUCUCCUCUGUGUGAAACAUGUCUAGACUGACAGUAUCAUUCUGCGUAAGCCCCUCUCACAGCAGAAAAAAGGUCUGCACCCUUGAAGGUGCUGUUGAGGACAUCUCAUGAUGCAAAUGAAGCAGCUGCUUGAAGGAGCCCUGGAGGAGCCUGGGCAGCAAGGCUGGGAUGCCCACAGGCAUGUGCCUUUCCAGAAAUGGGCAGGAAGUAGAAGGAAAAGAAAGGGAGUCAGGCGCAGGGCAGGGGUAGGGGCUGGGGUCUGCUUUCUCUACACUGCCAGGUUCUGAUGAGGACCUCCCAGGAGGGUGAAAAGCUGCAAACCCAAAUGGUUAAGAAGAUAUAUCUGUUAAUGUAGAACAUGUUAUAUUUACUAAGUAAUUGACUUGAUUUGCAACUUUAGGCAGACAUGGUAAGUGGACAUCAAUAUUAGUUUCCUGUUGCCACUGGAACAAAUGACCGAAACUUAGCACCUUCAAACAUACCUUUAUCAUCUUACAUUUCUGGAGGUCAGAAAUCCAAAAUGAGUCUCCCUGGGCUGAAUCUGGGUGUUGGCAGAGCGACGUUCCUUCUGGGGUCCUGGGGGAAGCCUGCUUUUUGUCUUUUCCAGUGUCUAGAUGCUGAAUCCAUUCUUUGGCUCAUAACCCCUUCCUGGGUCUUCAACGCUAGCAGUGUCAGGUCGAGUCUUUCUCAGACUGCCACCUCUGUUCUCCCUCUUGUGCCUCCCUACGUCAUUUAUCAAGACCCAGGGGAUUCCACAGGCCUACCCAGAUAGCCCAGGAUAAUCUACCCUCUUUAAAGUCAUCUGACUGGCAACCUUAAUCCCAUCUGCAUCCUCCAUGACCCCCCGCCAUGCAAGGUGACAUACAGGCACAGGGAUGAGGAGGUCUUCACAGGGCUAUUAUUGUGCCUACCACAACCUCCAUUUGGAUUCUUGUCCCAACCCUCACAAAAAUGAGGCAUAUAAUUUGUUGAAUUCUGAAUAAAAUGUUACCAGUGACUAGGAGUUAUUAUUUUUUCUUUAAAAAAAGAAAAACCUUCUCCUCCAGGUCUGGUUUUCUUUAGACCUCAGGACUGUGUACCUGAGAAGAUCUGCGGGCAUGAGUGUUUAUGUGAUUAUCUGGACAUAAUCAGAUUUCUGAUUGACAUUGUUGUAUUACUUUGGCUCCAGAUGCAGUAGCCUGAGAGCAGGAAUAAAAUCCCCUCCAGCUCUCUCAGUCUACCCUUUGCAGAGGGAGAAUUAAAUUGGGGCCACACAGCAGGCAGCACUAAUCCUCAGUCCACACAAAUCCUCACUUUCCAAUCAUUUCGAUGGAAGUCAUAAAAGAGCACUCUGGUAGGCAUUAUUACUUCAUUUUUUCAUCAAUUCAGCAAGUAUUGAUUGGGCACCUACCCUGUGCCAGUGAGGUUGGAGACACAAGGGUGAUGAACAGGGUACAUGUGCCUGGCCCUCAAUGGCCAGCUCUGUCACUGUAGGCAGGAGCUUUCCUUCCUGUGGGCUCCUGGGUUUUAUAAUCACAGGAGCACAUAGACAUCCAGCACAGAGCCCCGUUAUGGGGGCAGGGUCUGGCCUGCCUCCUUCACUGUUGUCUCCCAGUGCCUCAGAUGUAUAGUAGGUGCUCAUUCCUUAAAUGAAUGAAUAAAUGAAUGACCCUCCCUGAUCAGAGAGUUAAUGACUGUAUCAGUCCAACCAGAAAAGCAGAGGACAAGCCGAGAAAAGACCUGGCCAGUCUCUGCCACCAUGGCUGUGAGUGAGAGGAAUUCAGAUCGUGAGGUGGAUUCCUGGGGCGGUGGCUGCUGCUUACAAAGCGCUUUGCUGGUAUUCAUUAAGCCACAGGGCUCCCUUCCAAGUUUCCUGCUGUUAUCAUUCUCACUAUGUAAAUGAAGAAACUGAGGUACUGAGAUGAACUUGCUGAAGACCACACAGCUAGUAAGUAUCAGAGCUUGGAUGUAAACCUGAAUGCUCACUGAGGAGAGAACAGCUCACCUCUUUCCCUCAAAGGCACAUGUUCAGUCUUCCCAAAUCUCAUCCGGCAGCAAUUAAUGUCUCCCUUCCCACUAUCCCCCGCUCACUUCCCAUCUGCAGAGAUCUCAUUGGGUCUAAAUUAUCAGGGCCUACAGCCAGGCCAUGCUAAUGAGGUUGAAGAAGGUGGAAGGGCUGAAUCGGGCAACGUUGUUCCUUUAAUCCUAACUCUUUCAUCCUAAUUCAUCACUGCACCCUACCUGCCCACCCCCCCCACCUUGGGUGAAGAAAGUUUGAAUUGCCCAGCAUCCGGGAAGUUUGUGCUAAGUCAAGGGAAAUUGCUACACUGCUGUCUGUUUUGUUCAGUCCUUCAUAAGCAUGCAGCCUGACCUGGAGAAACUGACAGUUUAAAAUGUAUGGGGCAGCUCCCGCCCCACCCUUUACUACCCUUGACCACACUCCAAGCAGUAGCCAGUCGAUACUGUGGUCCAGGAAGUCUCCCUGCAGCUCAGCCAUCAGUCAUUACCUUUACUGGCAGGACAGGGACAGAACAGGGGAUGUUCUCCCCUUUUAUUUUGUGUAGUGAGGCUUAGAAAACUCUGUACCUAGAAAAAUCCAUUCCUGAAGGCUGUUGCUGUUGAGUAGUGCAGUGAGAUGGGUUUGAAGCAGUGAACUCUUUCAUAGGCUAUGUGAAUGUGGGCAAGUUGCAUUUUCUCUCUGAGUUCUCUGAGCUCAAGUCUUGCUUUGGGUAAUUUGUGCACUAACCUUUGACCUUUCUGACAAAAAGAAAAAACAAAAUCACAGUGCUGGGGACAGCUCCUGACGCUCCACCUCCUCUACUUCUUUUUUAGAUAGCAGGUUUUGCUCUGUUGCCCAGGCUGAGGUACAUUGGUGUGAUCAUAGCUUACUGCAGCCUUUAACUCCUGGCUGCAAGCAAUCCUCCCACCUCGGCCUCCCUAGUAAGUAGGACUACAGGCCUGUACUUCUAUUUUUAUUUAUUUAUUUUGCCGAUCUGGAAUACUUGCAUUUGUGUUUGCCUGUCCCAACCUUCUUCUUCUGCUGGGCCCAAGCAAUUCUCCUGCCUUGGCCUCCCAAAAUGCUCGGAUCACAGGCAUGAGCCACUACACCCAGCCUCAACUUCUCUCACUUUUAUCUUCUCCCCAGUUCUUGGUGAGGCAGGACCUGCCAUAUGUCCAGAUCCCCAUUUGUCCCCAGCAAUCUACCAAAUGGCUUAACUGGAUCCUCACGUCACUCCCCAGGGAUCCUGGCCAGGUCCUGACUGAACUGAGUUUCUUCUCUCUAUAUGCCCAAAGAGUAGUAGGUGUUCCUGCACUAAGCAGUGGCUUAAUUUAGGUUUUUUUUUAUUCUUCAGAUGUCUCUCCCAUUUGAUGUUUCACCCCUUGAAGCCCAGGUGAAUCUCUGUCUUCUAAUUCAUAUGAAUACUGCUGGUGCCUGACAUCACGUCUUGCUCAUAGAGUAGUAAUUCAAAAAUUUGACUUGAAUUCCCAUUUGGGAAUUCAGAUAAAAGCUGAGAAAGCUCCUACUGCAAGAGAGAAGCACACCACAAAGGGGACUAAGGGGAAGAAUUGGGAGGGGAGCAUUUAUUGACCCAAAUGACAGGACUGUGGGCACUCAUGUGUUCAAGUCACGUUUAGGAAUCAUUCUGUUUUCUUUAUGAAGCAGAUCCCACCUCUCAUUGUAAAGCUGGAAAUGCCACAUUCCCUCUGUCCCAGCCUCUCUUGCAGCUGUGAUGUGCAUAAAUGACCUAGAACCACUCGAUCAACCCUUCCACCCUAGAGCUUGAGUGGGAAGUCAUGGCUUGAAGAAUCAGGAGCCACACAGGACUCCAUUUGCGAAGGGAGUGGCACAAGGUGCCUCAGUGAUGUUGGCCACACAAGCCACCAUAUCAGUGCCAGUGGCCAAGGCAGGGGUGUCUUCACAGGGCCAGUUUCACCAUGUUAUUCCACAGGUGGCUCCUGGCCCAUAGCCUCCGAGUUGAUUUUAGUUUCUCAGAGAUUCAGUCGGCCAACUAAUGUCACUUAAUCAAUCCCGUUUCUGCUUGGAUGAGCUAGGCUCAGUGUUUGUUGCUUACAAAUGAGACCUCGACUGAGACAAGUUGUCAUGAGUUUCCAGUUGAAGUCAUCCUAUUCCCUCUCACUUCGAGGCCUUUGCACAUGUCAUUUCUUCCACCUGGAGCAGGCAUUCACCCUUCAUUUGUUACUGGAUGACUCCUACCCAUUCAUCCAAGAGUCAGGCUUGAAGGCUCCUCCCCUGAGAAGCCCUCCCAGAUUACCCCAAAUCUGGGCUCCCACACCACCCUGGAUGUUCCUCUUCAUAGCACCCUGACCCCAGAUUUUACUGUUUAUGUCUGUGUUUUCUCACUACUCUGCAAGCUGCAUGAGGAAAGAAGUGCCUCUAUUUUAUCAUGGCUGGUAGUUGUUAGCAUAGUUGUCCAGCCUAUUGACAUUGUUGAAUGGAUGGGUGGAUGGAAUCAUCUUAGGCCAGAGCAGUCCCCCACUAUCAUUGCCUGGUAGCAUGGGGCAGCUUCAGUUUUUGGACUAAGGACAAUUGCCCUGUUCCAGAAAACCCCAAAAUAGAGUUACCUCAUUUCACUUCUACCAGCAUGUCUUGUACAUCUGUUGUAUGCCAGGCCCCAUGUCCUCUUAUGCCCACAUCCAGAUCCUGCAGGUAGAAGCACAUUGCUGUGCUCCCUCUUCUCUGCCCAGCCAUGGAGGCCCUGGGGGCUUGGAGGAGUGACUACUUGCUCUCUGGGAGAAGCAUGGGCUGCAAGCCCCUUGAGUGGGCAGGUUGCCAUGGUGAUGCUUGCUAAUGGAGUUGCCUGAGGAACACUGACCAGCAAAAGGAACAAUUACCAGAGAAGGGCCAUUUCUUUAGCAAUUUUCAGGAAUGGGUAAGAGAAAAAGCCACAAGUGAAAAGGCACUGCAAACCAAUAAUAGUGUAUGAGUUGGUCUGAGCCAACCCAAGGCCUGUUUCCCACCCCUCUCUCUUCCCCUCUGAUUGUAGCAAAUAAAGCCAUACUUUUCAGUGAUUUAUAACUGUUCAAAAAUAGCUCAUUUUCAUACCUCCUUUUGUCUACCCAGCAUCCAUUAUACACCACGUCUUAAUAGAUACUUAAAAUAUACUCUAUAAUUAUGAAAACAAAUCUAUAUACAUAUGAGGAUACUGAAGCUCAGGGUAUGUGAGGGACCCAUCCAGGGGUACACAGCUGGGAAGCACAUUCAGCAGUUUGCUUGAUGCUUAAUUCAAGGAAGCGAAUUCUCUUUGUGCAGUUAACAUCAUCACAAUGACAAUUGCAGUGUCUCCAUGAGAAAGUGUUCUUGAAAAUGAGACACUAGCCCUCUCCUCUCUCAUCUACACAAUAUCCUAUUGCCUUCUAUUUAGAAGAGAGGUAGUGAGUUGGUUUAUUCACUCACUCUCCAUUUGUUCAUUCAUACACAUCUAAGGAACUCAAACUUCUAGGGCAAAACCAGCAAGCCCCGUACUGGACACUUUGCACUCAAAGUCAGCACACUUGAGAAGUAAGAGGAGCUUCCCCAUAGUUACUGAGCUUCUAGCUCUUAGUCCCAACUCCUGAAAAGUAGCUGUCCACUUCCAAACUGUGCUUUGGCCCCUGACAUUGCCACCCUGAGCUCCACACACCCUUGGACCACAGUUUUGUGAGGCCCAGAUGAGCACAGUAUGCAGGGUAGGGCCUGGCACUUGCAGGGCUCCAAGGAACCCAGAGGAAAAUGGCACAGGUCCUGAACCAGGCUGUUCAGGGCUGAACUCCUGCCCCACUUAGCAGCGGGAUGAUGAGCAAAUUGCUCGGCCUCUCUGUGCUUCAGUUUCCUCACCUACAACCUAGGGCUAAAAAAAAGAAGCACCUACUCUAUAGGAUCAUUGCCAUGAUUCAACACAACAAUCCACAUAAGGAACUUAGAACAGUGCUGGCUGUGUGUGUUAAAUGCUGAGUACACAUCAGCUGGGAUUAGAAGUAGCAGCAUGGCCAGGUGCUCCUGAGCAAUGGGUCAGCUCUUGCUGUGCUACCCUCAGGUCCCACCCUCCUUUGCAGUUUCUUCUCCUGCUUUGAUAACUAGAAGCAGUCGUAUAGGGCCUGGGGUCUCUACUCACAAGUCAAGAUGUCCAGUUCAGCCACUCCUGUCUGUCUUCCUUUCUUAGAGUCACUCUGUAGGCGUGUCUUGUGUAAAAUGUAAAUCAGACCAUGGCACUCCCUAACUGGAAACCCUUCCGUGGCUCCCUGUUACUCACCAUAGGCUAAAUUCCACCCGGACUCCUCUGAAGGGCUGGCGGGGCCUCCUGUGGUCUAGCUCCCACCUGCUGUCCACCCUCACCCCUCAUUCCUGCCCUGUAAACCCCUCGUAGCUCUCAGAUUUCAAGAAUUAAAGCUUUGACCCAGUUGUUCCCACCACCCCCACCCCCAAUCCCUAGAAACAGCUUCCCCUUUCUCUUUUCUGGCCAACUGCAAGGCUCCUUGAAGGCUCGGCUUUUGCAGGACAUCCCCUCUGGCCACACAGGAUCCCUCCAUUUUGUGGCUGAUAACAUCCUUCAGAUUGCAAGCUGAGCACUCAUCAUACCCCAUCAUGACGAUCUCCCCUGCAAAGCCAGGGGCUUUGAGAGGGCGGGAUGGUGGCUGACACAUUUGGUGCUCCAGUCUCGUCAUCUGACACUUGCCAUAGAGAAGGUGCUUAAUAUUUAGAAGAGCGUGUGUGAUUAUCAAGAGCCUGGAUAUGAAGAAGGGGAUCACGGCCUUGAAAAAGGACCAAAUGACAGGAGGUGGCCUGGUCCUCAUGGCCAGGCCCUUGUGGUCUCCUUGUUUCAACGAGCCAAUAAACCCAGCUCUGUUCAGCUGCAGGUAUGUUCCUGGUCUUUGUCUAAAGGGCAUUGACACCAUCCAGUUCCCAGAAACCUGAACUUCCAAAACAACAACAAAAAACUAAUCAGUUUCUGCAAACUAAUUGAUUAGUGAGAAAUGUAUUUCUGAUAGGGAGCACCAGUUGGAGUGGACAACCUUGAACAUUCUAGAUGUUUUCUGGAGAGAUGCUUCAGCUUCCCCUCCAUUGUGAGUGUGUGUGUGUGUGUGUGUGUGUGUGUGUGUGUGUGUGUACAGGGAAAGGAUGCAAGCUUUGCUGUCCUGGGUAUCCGUGACUGGGCAUGUCUCAUCUGAAGGGGCAUCAGCUAACAUUCCCUGAGAAAAGAAUGUUAUAAUUGGAUGAUGACAUCUGCUUCCAGAGGUAAGAGCAUGCAGCAUGGAGCAGACACUCUCUAUCCCAGGAGCUUCCCUGCCCAGGCAGUGGCUAGUGGCUAUUGUCAUGGAGUGGUAACCAUCUGCAAGGCCAUUCUCAAAAGUCCUGCUGAUAUCACUCCAAUCCAUGGACACCCCUGUGACUCCCAUCUCCAUUCCUCGGGCAUGCUUCCCAUGGAAAGACACGUGGUUGGUGGCAUUGGGGACUGAGAACAGAACAGAUUCAGGCUUUGAGUGUGGAUCAGAGCCACACUGUGUGGUGCUUGCAUCACUUCUGACAGUAGUUGGGUAAUGGGCCAAAUCACCCAAAAAAGAUAGAAUGCCAACAGAUGUUAGUUGAGGAAGAUGAUUAAUCUCUUUCUUCAAAAGCUCAGAGAAUCUUUAUUGGCAAGAUUAAAGUCAAGGUAAGGCUUCUCCUUAGCAACCAGAAAGCGCUUGGUGUGCGUGGCUGCAGAAUCCAAUAUGAAACUCAGAUGAUGAAGGUGACAAUGGGCACCUCCGAUUGUCCAUCGUAAAUUUCUGCCUGGAAUGCGGCUCGGCCUUAUACACGUCAGCAAAAGCUAGUGAAAGUUCCAGAGAGGGAUGUUAGGUCAGGCCUGAUGGAUGAGGAGGUUUCAUUUAAGGGCUCCUGUCACUUCCCAUCUUCAGGCCAAGCUGACAUCCAUGGCUGUAAAAUUGUCACCCUUCUCCUUUGCCUCUCAGGAGAGCCAAACUUCUGUAUGACACUUUUGAUCAAAUCUGUCUUUGCCCACUUCUCUCUCCGCCCGACUCCCCCCGCCUUUAUCCUGACAAAGAAGCGAACUGUUACCCUGCCAGUUAUUUAUCUAAGUAAUUUCUUGACGAAAUUGCAAAUAUAAUUGAAUUUUCUGAAAACCAGGAAUUCAAAUGAGGCGACGACAGAGGAAACAGCGUGAUUAAGGAAUUGUUAUUCACUCGUCGUACAUCAUUACCACCCAGAAUUCAUCUCCAGAUCAUUCACAGAUGGAGUGGCUGAACUAUGAUUAUAUUUCAGAAAAUGAAAGAGGACAAAUCUAAAAAGGCAAUAAAACAAAUUAGAAACCUU